UACGAAGGGGGCUAGCGUUGCUCGGAAUUACUGGGCGUAAAGCGCACGUAGGCGGCUUCUUAAGUCGGUGGUGAAAUCCUGGAGCUCAACUCCAGAACUGCCUUCGAUACUGGGAGCUCGAGUCCGGGAGAGGUGAGUGGAACUGCGAGUGUAGAGGUGAAAUUCGUAGAUAUUCGCAAGAACACCAGUGGCGAAGGCGGCUCACUGGCCCGGUACUGACGCUGAGGUGCGAAAGCGUGGGAGCAAACAGG
rnacentral:rRNA from 1 species